UACGGGGGGGGCAAGCGUUGUUCGGAAUUACUGGGCGUAAAGGGUUCGUAGGCGGCCAACUAAGUCAGACGUGAAAUCCCUCGGCUUAACCGGGGAACUGCAUCUGAUACUGGAUGGCUUGAGAUUGGGAGAGGGAUGCGGAAUUCCAGGUGUAGCGGUGAAAUGCGUAGAUAUCUGGAGGAACACCGGUGGCGAAGGCGGCAUCCUGGACCAACACUGACGCUGAGGAGCGAAAGCCAGGGGAGCAAACGGG
rnacentral:rRNA from 1 species